UUGGUAACCGCUGUGAGAAGAAGAAGCAGCAGAACUUUUGAAAGGACGACGCGAGGCUCGCAAAUAUAAUUUAUUUUCAUAUUCCUACAGGAAUUUCCGCCGAGGAACAUUUAACGCAUCUAAAUCUGCAAUUUGAAUAAACUAGCCGUUAACCUCGAGAUGGAAGGUAUUUCUACAUCGAUGGACACACUGCCACCAAAACACGUUUUGGAGAUAUGGGCAAUUCUGUUGGUAAUCCUGGCAACGGUUGUCGUCAUGACUACCUUGUUAGCUGGCCCUGCAGUCGGUCUCAUCCUCUAUCGGGUUCGCACUAGCCCUGGCAGGCACCAGAACUGCUGACGCAUUUGAAAGGGCAGCUUGUACUUCCUUUCUGCAGUGGAGCUGUAAACUGUACAGUGAUUGCCCCUCAAAGGCCUGGAUGGACUCGUGCUAUUGCCUUCCCAAUGGACAUGGAGUCCAGAGGCUGGAGAAAUAGUUGCUGUCUUAACCCACAGCCACACACGGUAGCAUCUAUCUGUCUCCUCCUCAUACAGGGGAAGAGUCACAGUCAUGCCCUGUGACUUACAGGAAUUCAUGAAUCACAGAGUAAGUGGGCAUUAGAGGUCUAGCUAAUGGAACUAGAAGUGAGUAAUGGCUAGGUGGUUAGUGUAUAAUGUCCACACUACUGACAGCCACAGUGUAACUUUAAAGGUUCAGUGCACCAAUUAGUCCAAGAUGAGACCUUUACUCUCCAGGUGUUACCAGGGGUUUUUUAUACCCAGUCAUCAUAUUUUCACAGUAUAUUUGCACAUUUAUUGUGCCAGAGGCCUUCAUUUCUUCCAUCAUUCUUUUUUGGGAUGAGGCAGAGGAAGCCCUGCUGACUGGUUCCCUCCCUCCCUGGGCGAUGCUUUGGCUCCAUGGGACUGCCUGGCAUAGGACUGUGGGUUACAUCACAGCACUGUGAAUGAGUGCUUAAGCUAGACAUGCCACAUAUAACAGUGUAAGGAUUACAUUUCAUUAGUAAUUCUGCAAAUUGCAUUUUUAAACAAAGAAGAUAAAAUCCAGUUCUCAUAAUACAUAUAAUUGACUAUAUAUACGUACACUGCAUUUUUAUUAGAAAACAUUGACAACCACAAAUGUAAUCUAAAAGGCACUAGUGGGCCCUUUUCCAAUAAUAUUCAGGCCCAAACUUUAUACCAAACAUUACAUUCACUUAUUCUGCUAACGGUAACGACAUCAGCUUUAAGUUUUUAAAAUCAGCUGCUUAUGUCAUUUUGUGGGGAACAGUAUCAAAAUCACAUAGGCUUUUAUAUAUAUACAUAUAUAUAUAUAUAUAUAUAUAUAUAUAUAUAUACAUACUAUAUAUAUAUAAAGAACCAUCAGUGGGAGAAAAGCUUUGAAUAAUAUUUGGAUAAUGCUUUCAUAACACUUGGUCAUGACUCAUGAGCGAGACAAGCCAGUCACCAUCUCACCAUCCACAAAGACAAGUACAGUCAUUCAAAAUCCACAAACAUCGGUUUAACCGGGAAUUUACAAACAUUACAUCGCAGUCGGAAUUUUUACAAACUUUCCCAAGUUAUUGUCUGCAAUGUACAGGUAUAAUUUAUUAUAGAAACUCAUGGGAAACACCUAUAAUUGAAAAAAUAUUCCCAGAAUAGGAACUGGGAUAUUUUUAAGGAAAGGAAUAUCAAGAAGGGAACUUUUUCACAAAUGAAGAAGUUGCUCAGACACUAAAUUCAGGAAGUUCAUGUGCAUGCAUGUGUUUUCAUACCACCCAUCAUUACAAUGUAAACAACAAACCUGUUACUUUAACAGUUAUAUUUUUGCAGUUAACAGAUAAAAUAAUCUGUAAUAAUAUUAAAAGAAGAUUAUAAAAAUGAAUGUGCAUGUGAACUUGAAAAAAACCCACCCUAACUACUGAACUGUUGAAAAUAUGAGCAAAAUUCCUAAAUCUGGGAUGCAAUACAUAGAAGUCAGUGAGUGAAUUAUCGAUAAUGCAUUUUCUGGAUAACAAGGAAUAAUUCAUCAAGCACAGUGUGGUUCUGUGCAAUAUUUCACUACAGAUUGUGCAUACGGUACAUGUACAGUAGAUAAUUACUUCAUCGUUCAUUGAUUUGAGCAAAUGGUGCUUGGACUGAAUGUGGACAAUUUGCAGUGUCUGUGCCUUCAUGUAGCUUUACACUGUAAAUAUGUUCCCACACUUUCAUUUCACUUUCACGCGUUCAUGAUGAACAGGGGUUAAGAGUUGUGUUAUUUUAGCAUCUACUGCUAAACUGAACAACUGAUCCGGAUCUACAGAGUUCAUUUUAAUGCAUUUUAGUCUGGAUCAGAAAAUGAAUGUUGGAAAUAUCCCCAUCAAGAGGGAGACAUGCUAGGGGGCUAAAGAGGACAGUCCAGAAAAGCAGCAGCGAAGCUGUAUCAACAGGAAGCGUGGGCGGGAUGCGUGCCUGUCUCCCAGCUAGAGUAAACAACCCCGUUUACACACACUGCAGGGAGCUUUCAUUUUCCCAGCAUUCCUUGUUCCAGACCUUCACAUGUACUGUGCACAGAGGCGCCCCUGAGAUUUUGGGGGCCAUAAGCAGAAUUUUAUUUCCUCCUCCAAAAUAAUAAUCAUUUCAUUUUUGUAAAUAAAUCUAAAUAAACAUUUUUUUUUACAUCCCA